rnacentral:rRNA from 1 species
UACAGAGGGUGCAAGCGUUAAUCGGAAUUACUGGGCGUAAAGCGUGCGUAGACGGUUACAUAAGUCGGGUGUGAAAGCCCCGGGCUCAACCUGGGAAUUGCAUUCGAGACUGCGUAGCUAGGGUGCGGAAGAGGGAAGCGGAAUUUCCGGUGUAGCGGUGAAAUGCGUAGAUAUCGGAAGGAACACCAGUGGCGAAAAGCGGCUUCCUGGUCCAGCACCGACGUUCAGGCACGAAAGCGUGGGGGAGCAAACAGG